CUUGUCUUCAGAACUUGAGAGCCCUGUAAGCUACAAGUGAUAUCUGUUCACAAUGGAUAUUCAAAUGGUUAUGAAUCUUAAACAGUUUCUUUUAGGGGGAAAAUAUCCCAAGGACGCUAAUAAGCAUCAGCGUUACAUCCUGAAACGGAAAGCCUCGAAUUUCUGCAUGGUUGGUAAGUAAUUAGCAGAGGAGCAAAAUGUAAAGGUUGGUAAGGACAUAACUAUGUCUAUAAAAUAGGCCUAAUUCAUCUAAUAUAAGUUAUGCUGCCUAAAAUUUGACUUUGCAAAUGCCAGUAAAGUUACUUGAAUAUGUUCAUUUGCACCCUCAUUUAUAUACUUUAAAAAUAUCACCCUAAUCACACUGAAUCCAUAUUUAUUUGAAUUACUUUUGUGUGACUGAUUAACCAUUAUAUGUUAUGCUAACUAAAGGGCACACUGCAUGUCCCUGUAGUCAAAUUAUUUUGAAACCUUUCCAGGGAUAUCAUAAUUUUUGUCCAGGCCAGUUUCAUUAAUUUAUUUAUUAUUGUUAUUUUUUUUAAUAAAUGCUUCUAUUGAACAUCAAAUCAUGCAAUUUCUGAUUUUUAUUAAUUUUGUUGGUAAAUGUGUAUUUGUUUAUUAGUUUUGUCAGUUUCAAUUUAUUUCAGUGACAUUUCUGUGUUUCUUUUUGGAAGGGGAGAGUACCAACAAUUUUUUCUGCAUCUAUACAUCUACAUGCAAGUGCAAGGAUUUGAUUAAGUUUGACAGUUCAUACUAUUUUUAAAAAGGAUCUUAUGAUUCUGAUUUAUAUAAUGUUUUAAAUUAAUUUUUUCCAGAUGACAAUUUUUUACAUUCGACACAAGGGAUCCAGCCUGGUGAAAAAAUGUAAAGUUGUUUACGUUGCAGAAGAGGCCGACAAGCUGUUUCAGGAGUUUCAUUGUAGCAACAUAGGUGCACAUUUUGGCCAGCUUAAAACUAGAGAUGCCAUUUCUCAGCGGUACUACUGGCCUGGCAUGUCAGCAGACAUAGAGAAAUGGGUAUCACAGUGUACAGUGUGCCAGAAAAAUACGAAAGAUAUAAAGCUGAAGACGGACCUCAAACCGAUCAAGUCAAGACUCCAUUCGAACUGUUUGGAAUGGACUUAAUUGGAAAGUUGGCCAAAUCUGACCAGGAAAAUCAGUAUAUAUGUGUAAUAGUAGACUAUUGCACAAGAUGGGCACAGGCAUAUCCCCUUAAAACAAAGUCUGCUAAAGAGGUUACACAGUCCAUAUUAAAAUUUGUUUACCAAUUUGGAGUGCUGGAACAAGUUUUAACAGAUCAAGGCAGAGAGUUUGUCAACACAAUCAACACUGAGGUCUGCAAAAUCCUUGGUAUAAAAAUAAAUCUUUGUGCCCCAUACCACCCUCAGACCAACAGAUUGGUGGAGAGGCUCAAUGGCACUUUACAGAGAGCCCUUGCUAAACUAGUUGAGGACAAACCCAAUACCUGGAACCAAUAUUUGGAAGCAGUCACGAAAUAGAGGGGAAAAGUGUUGACCUUGUUGAUUCAGAUGGCCAGCCAACAUGCAAGGUCAACAUUGACCAUCUGAAAAAGCAUCAUGAGGAGACUCCAAGGAUACCUUACAAGUUGAGAAGGCAUCAACAAUUUGUCCCCUCUCAGCCACCCAAUAAAGCCUCAUCUCCUCCUCCACCUUCAGGCUUCUCUCCUCCUCCACCUUCAGGCUUCUCUCCUCCUCCACCUUCAGGCUCCUCUCCUCUUCCACCUCCAGCUGCAGACUACAGUCCUCCUGCAACUGCUGACCCCACUCCUUCUCUAGCUGCUCACUGCUCUCUUCAUGUAUCUGCUCAAACCUCCAUUCAUGAAAAGUGCAUACAAGAUGCAUGGGGAGGCAAUAAGUCACAUGUCCUCCUGUCAAGAAUAGGGCCCUAUAAACUAUUUUAUUGGGACUGCUCCCAAUCAAGAGCUCGAGAGUGAGGUGAUCAAUGCAUACAUGGCCCACACUGUAAAGAGCAACAAUCAGAUACGAGAAAAGAAAGCACUUCAUAUUGAUUCCUUUGAAAUGACACGCAUAUGGGAGAGAAGGGGCUCAAGAUUGAAAGCAAUAUUUCCUUCGGAAAGAAGAAGCCUUAUUUUGGAUCCCCUGGGAAAUGAUUCAAAGAAACUCCAACAGUGUUUGCAGUCCACAAGGGCCCUCAUCAGAAAACAAGGCUGCCAUAUAUCGAGGUGGGCAUCCAGCACAGAUGCACACAGUUGUCAGGAAGAUGCCACCUCAUGUGGGAUAUUUGUCCUGAAAAUAACCUAUCUGAGCUGUGCCACAACUGUGGGAAGAAGAGCAAUGGGCAAACAGAGAGUGAGGGGAAAAAAAUGAACCAUCAUCAUGUACAUCAUGGGUAAAAUGCUGUUAAAAUAAGGCAGUUAAUGACAGUGUUCUGACCAUUCUGAACCCCUUGUACAUGGCAUCUGUCUUGAAAUAGAAUGUUGUAUGUGGAUCCCAGCUCAGAUGUUUCAGAUAUUAACUUUGAAAUGUUUCCUUUCAGUGUGACGUGUGUGUGACCGUUGGUUUCACACAGUGUGUUCAAGAGCCCGAUCCCAUUAAGUCCUACAGCUGUGCCGAGUGCACAUUUUAAGAAUCUCCUCCAUUCCCCUGUUAUUAUUUACUAUUUAUAUUUUAGUAUUAAAUUUACCAUUAAAACAAAUAAGUUGUAAAAAUGUGUCUUUUUUUAUGAUUAUUAUUUUUAGCAUUAUUAGCAGAAUUAGAUUUCUUUGAAAGAUUACAUGUAUUUUACACAACAACAGUAUUAAAUGGGAUAUAUGAUUUACAUUUGUGGUUAAAAUUAGUAGUUACGUUCAUGAGACACUUGAGGACACAAUCAUAUUUAAGUAAUCUGGUGUGUUCGACAUUAUCAACCACAUAACAGUAUGGUCAUUAUUUUUAUGGCUUUGUGGAGAACAUUCAAUUCAAUUUGGUGUGAAAUAGAGGGAGGUAACGGAUUCUGAUAACCUGUAAUAGCACCUUAUCAUAUUUUGUGAGCAUGCUGCAAGUUUGUUUCUGUUGACAUGAGACCCAAAUCCCUUUUGGAGAACAAUAACGAAUUCCAGUAUUUUAUUCUGCACUUUAUUA